AACGUAGGUACCGAGCGUUAUCCGGAUUUACUGGGCGUAAAGCGCGUUCAGGCGGUUUGGCAAGUCGGGCCUGAAAUCUCUCGGCUCAACCGGGAGAGGUUGUCCGAUACUUCCAGACUUGAGGGCAGUAGAGGGUGGUGGAAUUCCGGGUGUAGUGGUGAAAUGCGUAGAUAUCCGGAGGAACACCAGUGGCGAAAGCGGCCACCUGGACUGCACCUGACGCUGACACGCGAAAGCUAGGGGAGCGAACGGG
rnacentral:rRNA from 1 species